UCAGUGGUAAGAGCAGUCGCCCGACAAGCGAAAGACUCGGGUUCGAUUCCCGAUUCAGCGA
rfam:Camponotus floridanus CamFlo_1.0_3.contig466, whole genome shotgun sequence.